rnacentral:rRNA from 1 species
GACGAACGCUGGCGGCGUGCCUAAUACAUGCAAGUCGAGCGCAGGAAACUGACGGAACUCUUCGGAGGGAAGGCAGUGGAAUGAGCGGCGGACGGGUGAGUAACACGUAAGGAACCUGCCUCAAGGAUUGGGAUAACUCCGAGAAAUCGGAGCUGAUACCGGAUAGUUCAACGGACCGCAUGGUCCGCUGAUGAAAGGCCCUCCGGCGUCACCUUGAGAUGGCCUUGCGGUGCAUUAGCUAGUUGGUGGGGUAACGGCCCACCAAGGCGACGAUGCAUAGCCGACCUGAGAGGGUGAUCGGCCACACUGGGACUGAGACACGGCCCAGACUCCUACGGGAGGCAGCAGUAGGGAAUCUUCCACAAUGGACGAAAGUCUGAUGGAGCAACGCCGCGUGAGUGAUGAAGGUUUUCGGAUCGUAAAACUCUGUUGUAAGGGAAGAACACGUACGAGAGGAAAUGCUCGUACCUUGACGGUACCUUACGAGAAAGCCACGGCUAACUACGUGCCAGCCGCCGCGGUAA